CCUACGGGUGACAGCAGUGAGGACUAUUGGUCAAUGGCCGAGAGGCUGAACCAGACAAGUCGCGUGAGGGAAGACGGCCCUACGGGUUGUAAACCUCUUUUGUCGGGGAGCAAAGCGAGUCCCGUGUGACUCAUUGUGAGUACCCGAAGAAAAAGCAUCGGCUAACUCCGUGCCAUCAGCCGCGGUAAUACGGAGGAUGCGAGCGUUAUCCGGAUUUAUUGGGUUUAACGGGUGCGCAGGCGGACGUUCAAGUCAGCGGUCAAAUUGCGGGGCUCAACACCGGACUGCCGUUGAAACUGGUUCCCUUGAGUGCGCGAGAAGUAUGCGGAAUGCGUGGUGUAGCGGUGAAAUGCAUAGAUAUCACGCAGAACUCCGAUUGCGAAGGCAGCAUACCGGCGCGCAACUGACGCUGAUGCACGAAAGCGUGGGUAUCGAACAGGAUUAGAUACCCCAGUAGUC
rnacentral:rRNA from 1 species